CAGAUCACAGCGCAGCUGUGGUUCGUGCCUCGCAGCAGACGACGAUGCCGACAACAGACGACACAAAAGGAUGGAACCACCAGCACAGCUGCACAUGUCUACAUCUUCUAUAACACAGUACUUCACGAAAGAUGCCCAAAUGGAGGUAAUAUAUGCAAGUGACAACAGAGAAGCUGCAUGAAGAGAAACUCCAUGCUACUGAAAUUCUCUGAGGGUCUUGACUCCGAAGCACGACCAUCUAAGACUGGGUGAAAAAGCUAGAAAUGAGUGCAUCUGCAAUGACAGCAUGUGCUUUGGAAGACCAAAGUCUGCAACAGUGUUGCACAUUGUCAACAUGAUCCUGGAAAAAAUUAAUUAGAGCUCACGACGACCUACGUGUCAAGUGCCACAAAAUGAAGGAACUUCCGACUAUUCUGUCAGAACUGCAAAAAAGCUGCUCUGUUCCCUUACAAGGUUCAGAAAGCUUGUGGACUGACUGAGCGCGAGAGACCAGAGUUGCUUAAGUGCUUCAGCAGUGCAGCAAGUCACCGAAGCAUUUUUUUCUACAGGCAAGGCUGUUAUCACUACUGACCACUUCAUAAACCCCAAAAACGAUAGCCUAUUGGUUACAACCAGUGACAUUUUCCUAACAGCGAGAACUUUUACAUCUAAGGCAGACAAGCCCUUCGGCAGCGUUUUCUUUUUCUUUUCACACAACUUCCGAGAUUUUCCGGCCAACCAUGUAUUAAACAUUUUUAUGGAAAGGUAGCCAUAUAGCAGCCUUUAAAUCUUGGAAAGAUGUUGAGAGGGUGUUCAUGCAGUUUGUUUUGACGACAAUUAGUGACCUUGUGUUUAAAACUGACCGUGAUUGUCUCGGAUAGUUUGUUUCUUUUUCAUUAGUCAGUACAUGCAUGAUACCUAACUAUCCCAAAAUAAAUAUUCUUGCUGUAAA